AUAUUGCGUUGGAGCACAACGUCUCGUAACAAUUUUAUAGCAUAAAUGAGAAGUGCAACAAUUCCAGUUACCCUUAAAAUAAGGUUGGAGCACGAGGGCGCGUGCCGAAGAGGAAAACAAAAUUUAUUUUUAGAAAUGGUCGCAGAAUAUAUCAAAAACAACAACAAGAUGAUAAAGUACUCGCUUAUCAUCUAGAUUUUGAAACAAAAUUUAUUUUAAAAAAAUGGUCGCAGAAUAUAUAAAAAACAACAUCAACAACAGCGACAUCAAUAACCUCAACAACAUUAACAAAAACUUCAACAACCCCAACAUCCUCGAGAACCUCAACAACUUUAAAUAUCAAACAAAACUCAAUUACAAUUAGAUGAUCAAGGUCUCGCUUAUGAUAUAGAUUUAAUGGAUUUCUGCAAGUACAACAAGAACCUCAACAAUAAAUCAUUUGAGGAUUUCGAUUCUGAAUCCUCAAAUGAUAAUAACAACACCAUUAUAGUAAAUCCCAAAAAGGAUGAAGUAGAGCAAAUGGUAAAACAUGAUAGCAUAGCUAAACUACCUAUUACUAAGAAAAGACUAUCUGGAGCACAGAUGAAAUUGAAAAAGAUGCUUCAGGAAAUCAUAGUUAGUCAAUCCAACGGACUUUCUCGCAAGAUCUGAGACAAAGAGGAUCCCGAAGAGUAGACGACUGAGAAUAAACCUAAGAAGAAAAAGAGCUCCCUGGCUUCACUCUCAUCAAUGUGUUAGCACCAUAAAGAACUUGGUGGAAAGUAUCCCUUUUCCUUGAAAAUACCUAAAACCACAGCAUCAGUAACAACUACUCAUAACGUUAAAGAGUCAAAUUCUAAAAGCGAGGAAGGUACCACUAACUCGUCAAAAGAAGGUGUUGCUGCCCUUUCCAUAAUUGGCGAGGCGCCUAUUGAAAGGGCUGUCAAAACCGGACCUAAGGUGAUACCCAAAGCAUCAUUAGCAAAUAUAGGUAAUAUUGGAUGUCAAAUACUAAAAGUGAGGAGUAAAUCAUUCACUAGCCAAAAGACGUGCUGUCCAAAAUUGGGAAAGUGUCGAUUAAAACGUCUGCUCUUCCUAAACCUGAUAAGGACACCGCAGUGCCAUCAAUGGUACCCAUUGCAUCAAUAACUACUUCAGGUUACCCGGAGGAGUCAAAUCCAACGAGCGGGGAGGUGAUCACUAACUCGCUAGAAGAUAAUUUAAAUGGAUGACAAUGACUGAGGUUAUCCAACGCUCUGAUGGCUAAAAUUAACACAGGAUUAUCCACAUCGGAUGCAACAAUGCUGUUAACCUGUCUUUCGAUUCUCCGCAACUUCCACCAACGUCGGAGCUGAUGAAACUUGUCGAAGAGGCACAAAGGAAAAAUAAGAAAAUUGAAGAAAGUUGUGAUGCUAACUCCCACCAUGUAGUUUGUGGUAGUACAAACACCAAUCGCAGAGGACAAGCCUUCAUGGAUUUCCUUAAUACUAAAGACUUGAUCACAUCAAACAUAGGUAAUAAAGCUGCAUUAUUCAAUAGAAUCGAGAAGAAGUAUUAGAUAUAACUUUAUAAACGAAAUUCAGGUUUGGAAAGUUUCGGACGAGCACUACGUUUUUGAUUUUGACAUUAUAUUUUUUGUUGUUUUGUCAAUGUUUUGUUAAAUGUUGUAAUAAACAUUUUUCAUAUUUAGACAUGGGCUAAAGACAAUACUCAUAUUGAGAAACUAUAGUAAAAACAAAAAUUCAACUUUUCUACUUUCGACACUGUUGGGAUGAAAUGUUGGUUUUCAGUACUGUAUGUAUUAAAAGUCGAUUUUUGGAAAUGUAUACAUAAAAAGUCGACCCUCACCAUUUACAAUUUUAAACUUGUAGAUUUUUUUUUUGAUAUCGAGUGCACAGAAGGAUUUCUCCAAUCCUUACCAUUUUCCAAGGAGUUUUUGGCGCGACACUCCUUAGAUCCUAUACAGUUUACCGGCAGCGAUUUUAUUGGCCAUUUUGGAGAAAGCCAAUUUUCCAUUGAACUAUAGUCCCAAGAUUAUAUAUGGUCUUGACUACUUUUUGGAUUUCCCACCACUUUCCAUUGAGUUUUACAUGGUAUUUUUUAGUAGCUACUAGCUAAAUAGUUUUUAGAUAUAAAUUUUUAUACAUUUUGGGGAUGCCACGCAAAUUAUUGCAAGUUCGACAAUUUAUCCAAAUGUUGAUGAUGAAAAAUUUGAAUAAUAAUUUGAUAUAUGAAAUUUUGUAUUUAAUUCAUAUUGGAGAUGGCAAGGUCCCAUUGAAAGUCCGCCCAUUUUUCUCUAAAUGUUCGCAUGAACGUCACAGUUUUUUAUAUAAAAUUUGAAUUUUCUAGCUCUAAUAGUUUCUCAGAUAUACGAAUUUUUAUAUUUAAUUCAUAUAGGAGGUUCCAAUUUGCUAGUUCGUCAAUUUAUUACCCAAAUUUGACAUUAAUGUCAAAGGAUUUUUGCUCUAAUAGUUUCCCAGACGUACGAUAUUUUUAUUUAAUUCAUAUGGGAGGUUCCAACUAACCCUAAUGAAAGUCCGCCCAUUCCCCCAAAAUCUUGAAAUAAAUGUUAAAUUUCUUCGUGCAAAAUUUGAAGAUUUUAGGUCUUUUAGUUUCCUAGUCAAACGACAACUCCAAUUUAUUACCCAAAUCUUGACAUGGAUGUCAAAGUUGUUAUUGCAAAAUUUGAGGAUUUUAGCUCUAAUAGUUUUUCAGAUAUACGAAAUUUUCUAUUUAUUUUCUUUGUGCAAAAUUUUAUGAAGUUAGCUCUUAUAGUUUCCCAGAUAAGCGAAUUUUGUAUUUAAUUCAUAUGGGAGGUACCACGCCCCUUUCUUCUAGUCCGUCCCCUUUUUCCUUAAAUAAUCAUAUUGUCACAAAAAUGGUUAAGGCAAAAUUUGAGGACUAUAUCUGUUAUAUUUUCUCAGAUAUACUUCUUUAAUAUUUUCUUCAUAUGGAAGGUGCCACGCCUACUAUAGCCAUUCCGUCCAAAAUUUGAAGACUCUAAUUGUUGAUAUGCCACUUUUAUACCCUCAACCACCAGCAGUGGUUAUAGAGGGUAUAUAUCAGUUUGACAUUCCGUUUGUAACACUAAGAAAUAUUCAUCUAACAUUCACCUAAUAAAGUAUAUAUAUUCUUGAUCCUUAUGAAAUUCUGAGUCGAUAUAGAUAUGUGCGUCUGUCCGUCUGUCUGUAUAAAACACGCUAACGUUAAAACAAAUCAAUGGAACUCUACAAAAUUCACUCAAAAUAUUCAUUGUUGUCCUAAGCAGUCUGGUAUUGAAAAUCAAUUAAGCAAGGCCCCCUCCCGAAAAUAACUUAAACGCACAUAACUCAUUAC